CAAUUAACAAAAUACAACGUUUUUUUUUGCUUCUUGAUUCAAUACUUCAGGUUUUUGUGAAGUUAAGAAAAGGAAAUAAUGUCCAAAAGGGUGGGAGCAGUAGGUGGAUACUUGGGAAAUGCAUUUGACGAUGGUGUUUUCGAUGGUGUGAAGAAAAUUGUUGUGUCAGUAGAGGGAGGUACUUUUAAUUAUAUAUCAAUGAUCAAGAUCGAAUAUGAAAAGGACGGGAAACUUGAAUCCCGUCAAUAUGGAACGGUUCGUGGGGAAUUAAAAGAGGUAAAAAUUUGGGAAAAGUUGUUAUAAAUUUCUUCUAUUACACAGUUUUGGUCAAAAAAAAGAUACUACGACGUACCGCUGAUCAAAUCGCUAAUCUUUAAAACCAACACUGGAAGAACAUCUCCAGUACUCGGUGGGACAACAGCAUCUGGACAACCAGCUGGGACAGAAUUCACCUUGGAGGGUAAAUAUGGAGAAAAACUUAUUGGAUUCUUUGGACGUUCUGGUCAAGCUCUUGAUGCCAUUGGAGCUCACUUUGGACCACUCGGUGGUAAUAAGGGAAACACAUUCGACGAUGGUGUUCUCGAUGGUGUGAAAAAGUUAACCGUUGGAGCAGAUGAGUUCAGUGUAACUUAUAUCAAGAUCGAAUAUGAAAAUGAUGGAGAAGUUGAAGUCCGUGAACAUGGGACAAAUCGCGGGGAGCUAAAAGAGUUCUCAGUGAACUAUCCCCAAGACAAUAUUGUAGCUGUUGGUGGAAGCUACAAUCAUAUUUUCAACUAUGAUACAACGCUUAUCACAUCUUUGUACUUCACAACCUCCAAGGGUUAUACCUCUCCACUAUUUGGUGUGGCCAAGGGAAACGAGUUCGAGAUCAAAGGUGAAAAUGGAGAAAAGCUUCGUGGAUUUUAUGGACGUGGUGGUACUGCCAUCGAUGCCAUUGGGGCUCACUUCGGACCGCUUGGUGGUAACAAGGGAAACACAUUCGACGAUGGUGUUUUCGAUGGUGUGAAAAAGUUAACCGUUGGAGCAGACGAGUUCAGUGUAACUUAUAUCAAGAUCGAAUACCAAAAGGAUGGAAAAGUCAUAGUCCGUGAACAUGGGACCAAUCGCGGGGAGCUAAAAGAGUUCACAGUGAACUAUCCGGGAGACAAUAUUGUAGCCGUUGGUGGAACCUACAAUCAUAUUUUCAAUUAUGAUACAACGCUUCUCACAUCUUUGUACUUCACAACUUCCAAAGGAUUUACUUCUCCAUUAUUUGGUGUGGCGAAGGGCAAAGACUUCGAACUCAAAGGUGAAAAUGGAGGAAAGGUUCUUGGACUUUAUGGACGUGGUGGUACUGCCAUCGAUGCCAUUGGUGCUCGUUUCGAGUCAGGUUCUAGUUAAAAAUCGUCGUAUUCCACGGAGAAGCUGGUGAUUAGUUUCAUCAGACUGGAGUUCACUAUCGCCAAUAACAGAAUUUCUCUGUAAAAUCCUUCCUGUUUUAUUACAUAAACUAAAUAAACCCCGUGCAUACGCACGGUUUCUUUCAAAAAUGUUCUUUAUUUUAUAUAUUUUCUCAGUUUGUAAAAGAGUCUUUAUUUUAUAUAUUUUCUCAGUGUGUAAGAAGUGGCGCACAUUUUUACAGAAAAAUGAUCGAGGUGCAUCUAUCUUA